AUGUAGCUUUUUUUCUAAUAGGGUGAACCCCAGUACUAUUCAUAAGAGACCUACAAAGUUUUAUUUUUUUGUUUUUUUAAAAGAUUUAUUUAUUUUAGAGAGAGAGAAGCAGACUCCCCUCUGAGCACUGCGCCUGAUGCGGGGCUCGAUCCCAUGACCCUGAGAUCAUGACCUGAGCUGAAACCAAGAGUUGGAUGCUUAACUGUGUCACCCAGACACCCCUAAGAGACCUGCAAAGUUUUAAGAGAAGUGUACUUGCAGAAACACUGCCUGCUUGGACUAAAAGGGACAGAGACAGUACAACGUAAAAGACGCAUCUGGACUUCCAAAGUACUACUUGUAGGAAGUAGGCUGAUGAAACUACUUAGCUGCAAACAUAAGCAGUUUUUUUAUGGAAAAUGAUGAUGAAGGGGGUUGAACCAUGAGCUCAGAGGGUAGAGUUAAGAUAUAUAGACAUGCUGUGCUGCAUCAAGGGACUAUCAGUAUAUGCCUGACUGGAUUUCAGAAUUGUUACUGGCUGGUAACUCUUGUUACCUCUAUUUCACCCCUUUUCAAUAGAAAAGUCUAUAAAAAUUACCUUAUGCCUCUUAUACCAUUGUAUUUUGAUGUGCAGAGGAUAUAUAACUUAUCUCUGUAGUUUCCCAGGUCUUCAGAUUGAGAAUAGUUAUACUUGGGGAGCUGUGCUUGAUAAAUAGUAUCUGGAGAGUGUCAUACACACUUGGAUGAGAUUCUGGACUUUGAACUUAUGUCUGGUGCCAUAACAGGACACAUACCUCUACUGCCCUGAACUGCUAUUUAAGAAGUCUGGCUGCUACUAAACCUCCAUGCUGGAGAGACCAUGUGGAAAGACCAUAUAGAGUACAGCUGCCUUGGAGCUCUGGGACUUGCUCGUGGUGAACACCUCUGACAAGACUUCAGUGUCUUCUGGUCACUUGCCCAGUU